UUAUGAACGCUAGCUACAGGCUUAACACAUGCAAGCCGAGGGGCAUCAGGAAGAAAGCUUGCUUUCUUUGCUGGCGACCGGCGCACGGGUGAGUAACACGUAUCCAACCUGCCCUUUACUCGGGGAUAGCCUUUCGAAAGAAAGAUUAAUACCCGAUGGCAUAAUGAUUCCGCAUGGUUUCAUUAUUAAAGGAUUCCGGUAAAGGAUGGGGAUGCGUUCCAUUAGGUUGUUGGUGAGGUAACGGCUCACCAAGCCUUCGAUGGAUAGGGGUUCUGAGAGGAAGGUCCCCCACAUUGGAACUGAGACACGGUCCAAACUCCUACGGGAGGCAGCAGUGAGGAAUAUUGGUCAAUGGGCGCUAGCCUGAACCAGCCAAGUAGCGUGAAGGAUGAAGGCUCUAUGGGUCGUAAACUUCUUUUAUAUAAGAAUAAAGUGCAGUAUGUAUACUGUUUUGUAUGUAUUAUAUGAAUAAGGAUCGGCUAACUCCGUGCCAGCAGCCGCGGUAAUACGGAGGAUCCGAGCGUUAUCCGGAUUUAUUGGGUUUAAAGGGAGCGUAGGUGGACUGGUAAGUCAGUUGUGAAAGUUUGCGGCUCAACCGUAAAAUUGCAGUUGAUACUGUCAGUCUUGAGUACAGUAGAGGUGGGCGGAAUUCGUGGUGUAGCGGUGAAAUGCUUAGAUAUCACGAAGAACUCCGAUUGCGAAGGCAGCUCACUGGACUGCAACUGACACUGAUGCUCGAAAGUGUGGGUAUCAAACAGGAUUAGAUACCCUGGUAGUCCACACAGUAAACGAUGAAUACUCGCUGUUUGCGAUAUACAGUAAGCGGCCAAGCGAAAGCAUUAAGUAUUCCACCUGGGGAGUACGCCGGCAACGGUGAAACUCAAAGGAAUUGACGGGGGCCCGCACAAGCGGAGGAACAUGUGGUUUAAUUCGAUGAUACGCGAGGAACCUUACCCGGGCUUAAAUUGCAGUGGAAUGAUGUGGAAACAUGUCAGUGAGCAAUCACCGCUGUGAAGGUGCUGCAUGGUUGUCGUCAGCUCGUGCCGUGAGGUGUCGGCUUAAGUGCCAUAACGAGCGCAACCCUUAUCUUUAGUUACUAACAGGUUAUGCUGAGGACUCUAGAGAGACUGCCGUCGUAAGAUGUGAGGAAGGUGGGGAUGACGUCAAAUCAGCACGGCCCUUACGUCCGGGGCUACACACGUGUUACAAUGGGGGGUACAGAAGGCAGCUAGCGGGUGACCGUAUGCUAAUCCCAAAAGCCUCUCUCAGUUCGGAUCGAAGUCUGCAACCCGACUUCGUGAAGCUGGAUUCGCUAGUAAUCGCGCAUCAGCCACGGCGCGGUGAAUACGUUCCCGGGCCUUGUACACACCGCCCGUCAAGCCAUGGGAGCCGGGGGUACCUGAAGUACGUAACCGCAAGGAUCGUCCUAGGGUAA
rnacentral:rRNA from 1 species